rnacentral:rRNA from 2 species
GAUGCAUUGGCGCGUCUAUAAUGCAGUCGUACGAGUGUCUGAUUAUUGAAAGGUGCUUGCAUCUUGAUUUAAUUUUGAACGAGUGGCGGACGGGUGAGUAACACGUGGGUAACCUGCCCUUAAGUGGGGGAUAACAUUUGGAAACAGAUGCUAAUACCGCAUAAAUCCAAGAACCGCAUGGUUCUUGGCUGAAAGAUGGCGUAAGCUAUCGCUUUUGGAUGGACCCGCGGCGUAUUAGCUAGUUGGUGAGGUAACGGCUCACCAAGGCAAUGAUACGUAGCCGAACUGAGAGGUUGAUCGGCCACAUUGGGACUGAGACACGGCCCAAACUCCUACGGGAGGCAGCAGUAGGGAAUCUUCCACAAUGGACGCAAGUCUGAUGGAGCAACGCCGCGUGAGUGAAGAAGGCUUUCGGGUCGUAAAACUCUGUUGUUGGAGAAGAAUGGUCGGCAGAGUAACUGUUGUCGGCGUGACGGUAUCCAACCAGAAAGCCACGGCUAACUACGUGCCAGCAGCCGCGGUAAUACGUAGGUGGCAAGCGUUAUCCGGAUUUAUUGGGCGUAAAGCGAGCGCAGGCGGUUUUUUAAGUCUGAUGUGAAAGCCCUCGGCUUAACCGAGGAAGUGCAUCGGAAACUGGGAAACUUGAGUGCAGAAGAGGACAGUGGAACUCCAUGUGUAGCGGUGAAAUGCGUAGAUAUAUGGAAGAACACCAGUGGCGAAGGCGGCUGUCUGGUCUGUAACUGACGCUGAGGCUCGAAAGCAUGGGUAGCGAACAGGAUUAGAUACCCUGGUAGUCCAUGCCGUAAACGAUGAAUGCUAGGUGUUGGAGGGUUUCCGCCCUUCAGUGCCGCAGCUAACGCAUUAAGCAUUCCGCCUGGGGAGUACGACCGCAAGGUUGAAACUCAAAGGAAUUGACGGGGGCCCGCACAAGCGGUGGAGCAUGUGGUUUAAUUCGAAGCAACGCGAAGAACCUUACCAGGUCUUGACAUCUUUUGAUCACCUGAGAGAUCAGGUUUCCCCUUCGGGGGCAAAAUGACAGGUGGUGCAUGGUUGUCGUCAGCUCGUGUCGUGAGAUGUUGGGUUAAGUCCCGCAACGAGCGCAACCCUUAUGACUAGUUGCCAGCAUUUAGUUGGGCACUCUAGUAAGACUGCCGGUGACAAACCGGAGGAAGGUGGGGAUGACGUCAAAUCAUCAUGCCCCUUAUGACCUGGGCUACACACGUGCUACAAUGGAUGGUACAACGAGUUGCGAGACCGCGAGGUCAAGCUAAUCUCUUAAAGCCAUUCUCAGUUCGGACUGUAGGCUGCAACUCGCCUACACGAAGUCGGAAUCGCUAGUAAUCGCGGAUCAGCACGCCGCGGUGAAUACGUUCCCGGGCCUUGUACACACCGCCCGUCACACCAUGAGAGUUU